UACGUAGGCAGCGAGCGUUGUUCGGAAUUACUGGGCGUAAAGAGUGUGUAGGCGGUGCUCUAAGUUCGGUGUGAAAUCUCCUGCUUAACUGGGAGGGUGCGCCGGAAACUGGGGUGCUCGAGCGUGGGAGAGGAAAGCGGAAUUCCUGGUGUAGCGGUGAAAUGCGUAGAUAUCAGGAGGAACACCUGUGGUGUAGACAGCUUUCUGGACCAUGCUGACGCUGAGACACGAAAGCGUGGGUAGCAAACAGG
rnacentral:rRNA from 1 species